AGUCCCCGCGCAUCUCUGUGGCAGCUGCCCAGUGCUUCUCGCCCCGCCGCGCCCGCCCACCCAACGGCGCUGUGUCCAGGUAGGUCAGCGCGGACUUCCUUUAGGUUGUACAGGGUUGGGCCUGGAGACCCGGAGGCCGGCGGGGUCCUGGCUGGGAGAGGCCGCCGCUGCCUUCAGGUUCCCGAGACAAUGGAGACUCUGAGAACAUCCAGAAAUAUCCAUAGGACUGGAGAGGCUGUGGGCUUUCAACCACCAUGAGGGGCUGUUUGCAUAUGAUUCUUCUAAAAUUGACAUCAGUGAAAUGCCUUGAAGAUAAUAAAGUGUUGAAGAAAUAAACAAAAUCAGAAUAUGUGGGAUCAGUUAGAAAGCUCUUAUUUAAGAAACAUGGAGGAAAUGAGACCAAGCAAUGAAGUAAUGUUGCAAAAUGACAUAUUUGAGUAGUUCAUACUGGUGGAAUUUUCCUGGCACUCUCAUGAGUUGA
rnacentral:lncRNA from 1 species